rnacentral:rRNA from 1 species
UAGGGAUUCUUCCACAAUGGACGCAAGUCUGAUGGAGCAACGCCGCGUGAGUGAAGAAGGUUUUCGGAUCGUAAAGCUCUGUUGUUGGUGAAGAAGGAUAGAGGCAGUAACUGGUCUUUAUUUGACGGUAAUCAACCAGAAAGUCACGGCUAACUACGUGCCAGCAGCCGCGGUAAUACGUAGGUGGCAAGCGUUGUCCGGAUUUAUUGGGCGUAAAGCGAGCGCAGGCGGAAUGAUAAGUCUGAUGUGAAAGCCCACGGCUCAACCGUGGAACUGCAUCGGAAACUGUCAUUCUUGAGUGCAGAAGAGGAGAGUGGAAGUCCAUGUGUAGCGGUGGAAUGCGUAGAUAUAUGGAAGAACACAAGUGGCGAAGGCGGCUCUCUGGUCUGCAACUGACGCUGAGGCUCGAAAGCAUGGGUAGCGAACAGG